rnacentral:rRNA from 1 species
GCGCGAAAACUUUACAAUGCUGGCAACAGCGAUAAGGGAACCUCGAGUGCCAGGUUACAAAUCUGGCUGUCGAGAUGCCUAAAAAGCAUUUCAUAGCAAGGGCCGGGCAAGACCGGUGCCAGCCGCCGCGGUAACACCGGCGGCUCGAGUGGUAACCGUUAUUAUUGGGUCUAAAGGGUCUGUAGCCGGCCGGAUAAGUCUCUUGGGAAAUCUGGCAGCUCAACUGUCAGGCUUCCAGGAGAUACUGUCUGGCUCGAGGCCGGGAGAGGUGAGAGGUACUUCAGGGGUAGGGGUGAAAUCUUGUAAUCCUUGAAGGACCACCAGUGGCGAAGGCGUCUCACCAGAACGGACCUGACGGCAAGGGACGAAAGCUAGGGGCACGAACCG